rfam:Danaus plexippus plexippus isolate F-2 unplaced genomic scaffold DPSCF300036, whole genome shotgun sequence.
CCAAAAUGAUGCAAAACAUUACCCGAAUCCCCAUGUGGUUGUAAAUAUCGAGCUUUUUAACACUGAUUGGC